rnacentral:rRNA from 1 species
UGGGGAAUAUUGGACAAUGGGCGCAAGCCUGAUCCAGCCAUGCCGCGUGAGUGAUGAAGGCCCUAGGGUUGUAAAGCUCUUUCACCGGUGAAGAUAAUGACGGUAACCGGAGAAGAAGCCCCGGCUAACUUCGUGCCAGCAGCCGCGGUAAUACGCAGGGGGCUAGCGUUGUUCGGAUUUACUGGGCGUAAAGCGCACGUAGGCGGACUAUUAAGUCAGGGGUGAAAUCCCGGGGCUCAACCCCAGAACUGCCUUUGAUACUGGUAGUCUUGAGUUCGAGAGAGGUGAGUGGAAUUCCGAGUGUAGAGGUGAAAUUCGUAGAUAUUCGGAGGAACACCAGUGGCGAAGGCGGCUCACUGGCGCGAUACUGACGCUGAGGUGCGAAAGCGUGGGGAGCAAACAGG